rnacentral:rRNA from 1 species
AUACGGAGGGCGCAAGCGUUGUUCGGAAUUACUGGGCGUAAAGCGCGUGUAGGCGGUUCGGCAAGUCGAAUGUGAAAGCCCCGGGCUCAACCCGGGAACUGCAUCCGAAACUGCCGAGCUAGAGUCCCGGAGAGGAAGGCAGAAUUCCCAGUGUAGGGGUGAAAUCCGUAGAUAUUGGGAGGAAUACCAGUGGCGAAGGCGGCCUUCUGGACGGUGACUGACGCUCAGACGCGAAAGCGUGGGGAGCAAACAGGAUUAGAAACCCGGGUAGUCC